CCAGGCCGGCCCCGCCGCCCCUGGCAGGAGCAGCCGGGGGAGCGGGCGAGCAGCGGCCCCGCCCGCAGCGGAAGAUCUGAAUUACAGUAAGAUGCCUCUACCUACAUCUUCCAUCAUGGCUGGCUGUCCACUCUCUUGAAAGAAGAAAGUAAGUGAACCACAAUUUCCCCAUAUGAGGCAGUGAUUCUGAAGGAGGAAAGUGAGAAAACAGUGCAGAAAGCUUCAAGUGACUGUGAGACAGGCUGUUUUCUAAACCAGUGUGAUGCCUCAGGUGCAGAAGAGAGAGACAAUAAUUAACAAUGUGGCCUACAGCAUCUUGGGGAACAAUUAAUUUUAGUGAAUGGACAAGGGGAGGAAGUGGGAAGAAACAGCUGCAUGAAGGAGGCUCCUGUUGGCUGACUGCUCCUUGUGCAAAAAGAACCCCCAAACUUGGGCAUUUUCCUCUUCCAAAUGUGCAGGCUAUGACAGCAGGGAAGACUACAGGUGUCUUUCAGGAUGUAAAGGCUGUCAUUUGUACACCCAAGAAAGGACUGUACU